GAGUGGUCUCGUAGGUAGGGGCAGGCUCGUAGGCAGGUGCAGGCUUGUAGGCAGGUGCAUGAUGGUAAGCAGGGGCAGGCUUGUAAGCAGGCUUAUACUCGGGGUACUGGGCCUCACCCUCGUAGCUGACCUCGGCCACGUAGCCGGAGUCUCCGUUGACAGUGUAGGCGACCUUCUGCAGACGACCGUCAGGAAGGAGAACGUAGUAGGAACCCUGGGUGUCAUAGCCAUCACGAGCCUCUUGGUGACCAAAGUCGUUACC
rnacentral:lncRNA from 1 species